rnacentral:lncRNA from 1 species
AUUUCCCGCCAUGCAUGGCAGACUUGUACAGAAACGAUAUGUUUUCGAAAUUCUGUUCGUAUCUUUUAGACAUCGUAUGGCCAUCGCGCCAUCAUCAUAAUCCAUCGUGUAGCCUUCGUAAUCCAUCGUGUAGCCUUCGUGAUCCAUCGUGUAGGCUUCGGCUGAGAUAUGAAGCUUAAAUACCCGUCUUCGGUUAACCUUCGUAUGUCCAUCUUUUGCUAUCGUAUAUAAUUUCGGCACCAUCGUAUAGACUUCGUUAUUCAUCGUACUUGCUUCGGUCACUUUUUG